CUAAUAUCAUGUAAAUAAUUGAUCUUUUUCUUAAAUUUGAAACAGGUGUAUUUUUCUGGAUCAAAUAUUAAUAGGAAGAUUCUCUAGAAGAGGAAGAUGGUAAGAGUGGCUUUCAUUUGAAAGGCAUCUUCUUCUUUUUAGGUGAGGAACAGUUUACAUAAUAAAUGAUGACUUUUGGUGGCCAGCUUUCCUUUGACUCUCAUCUUUUUUGUUUCAGAAGGCACCUACCAUUGAUGUUUCCCUCCUUCCUACACAUUAGCAGUGUCACCAGGAAUGCGGCUUCUGCUUUCUAAGUUAAUCCUCUUUUUCAGAAUAGUGCUUUGUUAGAAAGUCUAUAAAGCCUAUGUUCCCCAUAUAACCAGAUACCUUUCUUCUCUG
rnacentral:lncRNA from 1 species